AUCUAUGGCCAUACUACCCUGAACACGCCCGAUCUCAUCUGAUCUCGGAAGCUAAACAGGGCCAGGUCUGAUUAGUACCUGGAUGGGAGACCACAUGGGAAUACUGGGUGCCGUAGGCU